CAGCAUAUCCGAUAGCGGAGGAAAAGAAACCAACAGGGAUUGCCCUAGUAACGGCGAGUGAAGCGGCAACAGCUCAAAUUUGAAAUCUGGCUCUUUUAGGGUCCGAGUUGUAAUUUGCAGAGGGCGCUUUGGCGUUGGCAGCGGUCCAAGUUCUUUGGAACAGGACGUCACAGAGGGUGAGAAUCCCGUACGUGGUCGCUAGCCUUCGCCGUGUAAAGCCCCUUCGACGAGUCGAGUUGUUUGGGAAUGCAGCUCUAAAUGGGAGGUAAAUUUCUUCUAAAGCUAAAUACUGGCCAGAGACCGAUAGCGCACAAGUAGAGUGAUCGAAAGAUGAAAAGCACUUUGGAAAGAGAGUCAAAUAGCACGUGAAAUUGUUGAAAGGGAAGCGCUUGCAGCCAGACUUGCCUGUAGUUGCUUAUCCGGACUUUUGUCCGGUGCACUCUUCUGCGGGCAGGCCAGCAUCAGUUUAGGCGGUUGGAUAAAGGUCUCUAUCACGUACCUCCCUUCGGGGUUGGCCUUAUAGGGGAGACGACAUGCAACCAGCUUGAACUGAGGUCCGCGCAUCUGCUAGGAUGCUGGCGUAAUGGCUGUAAGCGGCCCGUCUUGAAACACGGACCAAGGAGUCUAACAUCUAUGCGAGUGUUUGGGUGUCAAGCCCAGACGCGUAAUGAAAGUGAACGGAGGUGGGAACCUUUUAGGUGCACCAUCGACCGAUCCUGAUGUCUUCGGAUGGAUUUGAGUAAGAGCAUGGCUGUUGGGACCCGAAAGAUGGUGAACUAUGCUUGAAUAGGGUGAAGCCAGAGGAAACUCUGGUGGAGGCUCGCAGCGGUUCUGACGUGCAAAUCGAUCGUCAAAUUUGGGCAUAGGG
rnacentral:rRNA from 1 species